AUUGAACGCUGGCGGCAGGCCUAACACAUGCAAGUCGAACGAGUGGCGGACGGGUGAGUAAUGUCUGGGAAACUGCCUGAUGGAGGGGGAUCACUACUGGAAACGGUCGCUAAUAACGCAUACCAUCGGAUGUGCCAAGAUGGGAUUAGCUAGUGGGGGGGGGAACGGCUCACCUGGGGGACAAUCCCUAGCUGGUCUGAGAGGAUGAACGGCCACAUUGGAACGAAGCCCCGCUCCAGACCCCACCGGGAGGCAGCGUUGGGGAUUAUUGCACAUUGGGCACAGGCCUGAUGCAGCCAUGCCGCGUGGAUGAAGCAGGCCUUCGGGUUGUAAAGUACGUUCAGCGGGGAGGCGUUACCCGCAGAAGAAGCAACGGCUAACUCCGUGCCAGCAGCCGCGGUAAUUC
rnacentral:rRNA from 1 species